GGAGGAAGACGACUCGGCGGAAAGCUUGAGGGCGGAUCGCCCAUGCUUGUGUUGCAUGUAAGCAUGGUAGAUGCCCCUCUGCAGGAAAGCAGGGCGGUGCUGUGUCCAGCUCUCGUAAGACUCAGACAGCAGAGAGUUGACCAUCAUAAACUGCACAGUUUCCUCCGGAGACCCUGGACUACCCCGAGCUCCAGGGGGAGAAGCUGAAACCCGACUGGGAGAUUCUGAAGUUGAGAGAGAACUGGACAGGUAAGUAGAGAUGGCCUUGGCCAUCGAAUGGCGUUGCUGGUUGGCACUUCCAUCUACAAGAUGAGAAGCCAUCUGGAUCAUGAAAGGAAGAAACCGUGAAUUGCUCUCCUUCCCCCCACCCUUGCAGUCGGUGCUGAA
rnacentral:rRNA from 1 species